CGUGCCUAAUACAUGCAAGUCGAACGCAUUGUGGUUGAAAUGAUAUGAAGAACUUGUUCAGAUUUGAUUUCAACAUUGCAAUGAGUGGCGAACGGGUGAGUAACACGUGGGAAACCUACCUCUUAGCAGGGGAUAACAUUUGGAAACAAAUGCUAAUACCGUAUAAUAAUUAAAACCGCAUGGUUUUAGUUUAAAAGAUGGUCUUGCUAUCACUAAGAGAUGGUCCCGCGGUGUAUUAGUUAGUUGGUGAGGUAAUGGCUCACCAAGACAAUGAUACAUAGCCGAGUUGAGAGACUGACCGGCCACAAUGGGACUGAGACACGGCCCAUACUCCUACGGGAGGCAGCAGUAGGGAAUCUUCCACAAUGGACGAAAGUCUGAUGGAGCAACGCCGCGUGUGUGAUGAAGGGUUUCGGCUCGUAAAACACUGUUGUAAGAGAAGAAUGACAUUGAGAGUAACUGUUCAAUGUGUGACGGUAUCUUACCAGAAAGGAACGGCUAAAUACGUG
rnacentral:rRNA from 1 species